rnacentral:rRNA from 1 species
CCUACGGGAGGCAGCAGUGAGGAAUAUUGGUCAAUGGCCGAGCGGCUGAACCAGCCAAGACGCGUGAGGGAAGAAUGUCCUAUGGAUUGUAAACCUCUUUUGUCAGGGAGCAAAGUCACCCACGUGUGGGCGUUGGAGAGUACCUGAAGAAAAAGCAUCGGCUAACUCCGUGCCAGCAGCCGGGGUAAUACGGAGGAUGCGAGCGUUAUCCGGAUUUAUUGGGUUUAAAGGGUGCGGAGGCGGGUUAUUAAGUCAGCGGUAAAAGCGUGGAGCUCAACUCCAUCCAGCCGUUGAAACUGAUGAUCUUGAGUGGGCGAGAAGUAUGCGGAAUGCGUGGUGUAGCGGUGAAAUGCAUAGAUAUCACGCAGAACUCCGAUUGCGAAGGCAGCAUACCGGCGCCCGACUGACGCUGAAGCACGAAAGCGUGGGUAUCGAACAGGAUUAGAUACCCGGGUAGUC